rnacentral:lncRNA from 1 species
GAAAGAGGCACUAAAUUCCCAGACUUUAGUUAUUUGAUAAUGUAAAAACAUUGAGUUGUGCUGCUAGGACUUCUUUUCCUUGCUUCAUUGGUUUUAAGUUUUCCUUUUUCCUUUUGGGAUUUAUGUGUUUGGCUGAUAGAGGUGGGAGGAAACGGGGCAGAAGGACAUUAUCCUAUUUCUCCUGAAAACAGCAGUGCUGGUAAGUGUUUAGGUGCACAGAGGAAGUCUGACUUACAAUAAUGAUGGGCCAAGAAGUAAAUGAAAGCCAAUUCUAUUUGCCGUUGCUCAAGACUAGGAAAGUAAUUGAAAAGAGAUGAAGGGAAAAAACAAGCAAAAAGAUCAGCAUGGUAAACAAAUUAAAUGAACUUUGGCACUGCAGACUAUAAAACUCCAGCGGAAGAGGCUACAUUAUGACACGUUUGGUAUGCAUGAGAAGAAUAUUUUUUGUUUCAACUUUCUUGCAUUAAAUAGUAAUCAUUCCAGCGGUCCAUUAACCCCCAUGCACUGGAAAACUUAAACACCGAGAACUACCAGAAACCUUAGGUUGACCACCAAGUAUGUUACCAUCACGUUUCACAGAUCUUUCUUAGAUAAUACAGCCAUCAAAUGAAGUUUGUCAAAAAAGAAAGAGAUCAGUACUUUUCUUGAUGUGAGCGACUUAAGU